UACGUAGGGUGCGAGCGUUAAUCGGAAUUACUGGGCGUAAAGCGUGCGCAGGCGGUGCUGUAAGACCGAUGUGAAAUCCCCGGGCUUAACCUGGGAACUGCAUUGGUGACUGCAGCGCUGGAGUAUGGCAGAGGGGGUGGAAUUCCAGCGUGUAGCAGUGAAAUGCGUAGAGAUGUGGAGGAACACCGAUGGCGAAGGCAGCCCCCUGGGCCAAUACUGACGCUCAUGCACGAAAGCGU
rnacentral:rRNA from 1 species